rnacentral:misc_RNA from 1 species
GAUGAAGAACGUAGCGAAAUGCGAUAAGUAAUGUGAAUUGCAGAAUUCAGUGAAUCAUCGAAUCUUUGAACGCACCUUGCGCUCCUUGGUAUUCCGAGGAGCAUGCCUGUUUGAGUGUCACUAAAUUCUCAACCACUUCAGCCUUUGCGGCUUGGAUGUGGCUUGGAUGUUGGGGGUUUCUGCAGGCCUCUCUUUUGAGGUCAGCUCCCCUGAAAUGCAUUAGCGGAACCGUUUGCGGUCUGUUGCCGGUGUGAUAAUUAUCUACGCCAUAGACAAAGGCUGCUCUCUGUCUGUUCAGCUUCUAACUGUCCCCUGUGGACAACUUUUUGAACGUUUGACCUCAAAUCAGGUAGGACUACCCGCUGAACUUAAGCAUAUCAAUAAGCGGAGGA